rnacentral:rRNA from 1 species
AGUAACACGUGGGAACGUACCUUUCAGUUCGGAACAACCCAGGGAAACUUGGGCUAAUACCGAAUACGCCCGUAAGGGGAAAGAUUUAUCGCUGAAAGAUCGGCCCGCGUCUGAUUAGCUAGUUGGUGGGGUAAUGGCCCACCAAGGCGACGAUCAGUAGCUGGUCUGAGAGGAUGAUCAGCAUCACUGGGACUGAGACACGGCCCAGACUCCUACGGGAGGCAGCAGUGGGGAAUAUUGGACAAUGGGCGCAAGCCUGAUCCAGCCAUGCCGCGUGGAUGAUGAAGGCCCUAGGGUUGUAAAGUCCUUUCGGCGGGGAAGAUAAUGACGGUACCCGCAGAAGAAGCCCCGGCUAACUUCGUGCCAGCAGCCGCGGUAAUACGAAGGGGGCUAGCGUUGCUCGGAAUCACUGGGCGUAAAGCGCACGUAGGCGGACUCUUAAGUCGGUGGUGAAAUCCUGGAGCUCAACUCCAGAACUGCCUUCGAUACUGGGAGUCUUGAGUCCGGGAGAGGUGAGUGGAACUGCGAGUGUAGAGGUGAAAUUCGUAGAUAUUCGCAAGAACACCAGUGGCGAA